UCGAUUUGGAGUUUGUUGCCUAGAGUGAUGGGCUCCGAAGCUAACGCGAUAAAUCGACCGCCUGGGGAGUACGGCCGCAAGGUUAAAACUCAAAUGAAUUGACGGGGGCCCGCACAAGCGGUGGAGCAUGUGGUUUAAUUCGAUGCAACGCGAAGAACCUUACCUGGUCUUGACAUCCACAGAAUCUUGCAGAGAUGCGAGGGUGCCUUCGGGAACUGUGAGACAGGUGCUGCAUGGCUGUCGUCAGCUCGUGUUGUGAAAUGUUGGGUUAAGUCCCGCAACGAGCGCAACCCUUAUCCUUUGUUGCCAUUGGUUCGGCCGGGAACUCAAAGGAGACUGCCGUUGAUAAAGCGGAGGAAGGUGGGGACGACGUCAAGUCAUCAUGGCCCUUACGACCAGGGCUACACACGUGCUACAAUGGCGUAUACAAAGGGAGGCGACCUCGCGAGAGCAAGCGGACCUCAUAAAGUACGUCUAAGUCCGGAUUGGAGUCUGCAACUCGACUCCAUGAAGUCGGAAUCGCUAGUAAUCGUGAAUCAGAAUGUCACGGUGAAAUACGUUCCCGGGCCU
rnacentral:rRNA from 1 species